CGGAUCUCUGGAUACCCCUAAGGAUGUUCUUGAUCUGGUAGGAGGAUAUGAAACUUGUGUUGUUUGGUUGUAAUGUUAGCAUGUGAUGUUGUACGCCUGUCAGAUAUAGCUUGAUUGUGUUGUAAGAUAAUUUAAGUUUGAGGUGGCAAAAAGAAGCAAAACCCAACAAAGAUGUCAUGAUGAAAGGUUGUGUGAUGUUGUGC